CAGCCGCCGCGGUAAUACGAAGGGGGCUAGCGUUGUUCGGAAUUACUGGGCGUAAAGCGCACGUAGGCGGAUAUUUAAGUCAGGGGUGAAAUCCCAGAGCUCAACUCUGGAACUGCCUUUGAUACUGGGUAUCUCGAGUAUGGAAGAGGUGAGUGGAAUUCCGAGUGUAGAGGUGAAAUUCGUAGAUAUUCGGAGGAACACCAGUGGCGAAGGCGGCUCACUGGUCCAUUACUGACGCUGAGGUGCGAAAGCGUGGGGAGCAAACAGG
rnacentral:rRNA from 1 species